rnacentral:rRNA from 1 species
GACGAACGCUGGCGGCGUGCUUAACACAUGCAAGUCGAACGGAAAGGCCCUGCUUUUGUGGGGUGCUCGAGUGGCGAACGGGUGAGUAACACGUGAGUAACCUGCCCUUGACUUUGGGAUAACUUCAGGAAACUGGGGCUAAUACCGGAUAGGAGCUCCUGCUGCAUGGUGGGGGUUGGAAAGUUUCGGCGGUUGGGGAUGGACUCGCGGCUUAUCAGCUUGUUGGGGGGGUAGGGGCUUACCAAGGCUUUGACGGGUAGCCGGCCUGAGAGGGUGACCGGCCACAUUGGGACUGAGGUACGGCCCAGCAUCCUACGGGAGGCAACGGGGGGGAAUAUUGCACAAUGGGCGGAAGCCUGAUGCAGAAACGCCGCGUGCGGGAUGACGGCCUUCGGGUUGUAAACCGCUUUCGCCUGUGACGAAGCGUGAGUGACGGUAAUGGGUAAAGAAGCACCGGCUAACUACGUG